rnacentral:rRNA from 1 species
CUACGGGAGGCACCAGUGGGGAAUAUUGCACAAUGGAGGAAACUCUGAUGCAGCAACGCCGCGUGGAGGAUGACACUUUUCGGAGCGUAAACUCCUUUUAUAUAGGAAGAUAAUGACGGUGCUAUAUGAAUAAGCACCGGCUAACUCCGUGCCAGCAGCCGCGGUAAUACGGAGGGUGCAAGCGUUACUCGGAAUCACUGGGCGUAAAGAGCGUGUAGGCGGGUUAAUAAGUCAGAAGUGAAAUCCUAUGGCUCAACCAUAGAACUGCUUUUGAAACUGUUAACCUAGAGUGUGGGAGAGGUAGGUGGAAUUUCUGGUGUAGGGGUAAAAUCCGUAGAGAUCAGAAGGAAUACCGAUUGCGAAGGCGAUCUACUGGAACAUAACCGACGCUGAGACGCGAAAGCGUGGGGAGCAAACAGGAUUAGAUACCCUAGUAGUC